rnacentral:rRNA from 1 species
UNCCGGNUGAUCCUGCCGGAGGUUACUGCUAUCGAGGUUCGACUAAGCCAUGCGAGUCGAAUGCCGCAAGGCAUGGCGUACUGCUCAGUAACACGUGGACAACCUACCCUUAGGACUGGGAUAACCCCGGGAAACUGGGAAUAAUCCCCGAUAGUCCUCGAAGGCUGGAAUGCAUCGAGGGCGAAAGCUCCGGCGCCUAAGGAUGGGUCUGCGGCCUAUCAGGUAGCAGUGGGUGUAGCGUACCUACUAGCCUACGACGGGUACGGGUUGUGAGAGCAAGAGCCCGGAGAUGGAUUCUGAGACACGAAUCCAGGCCCUACGGGGUGCAGCAGGCGCGAAAACUUUACAAUGCUGGCAACAGCGAUAAGGGAACCUCGAGUGCCAGGUUACAAAUCUGGCUGUCGAGAUGCCUAAAAAGCAUUUCAUAGCAAGGGCCGGGCAAGACCGGUGCCAGCCGCCGCGGUAACACCGGCGGCUCGAGUGGUAACCGUUAUUAUUGGGUCUAAAGGGUCUGUAGCCGGCCGGAUAAGUCUCUUGGGAAAUCUGGCAGCUCAACUGUCAGGCUAUCAGGAGAUACUGUCUGGCUCGAGGCCGGGAGAGGUGA